GACGAACCGUGCGAACGUUGUUCGGAAUCACUGGGCUUAAAGGGCGCGUAGGCGGCUGCGCAAGUCCGGGGUGAAAGCCCCCAGCUCAACUGGGGAAGUGCCUUGGAUACUGUGCAGCUCGAGCGAGGUAGGGGUCGUGGGAACUUCCGGUGGAGCGGUGAAAUGCGUUGAUAUCGGAAGGAACGCCGGUGGCGAAAGCGCACGACUGGACCUUUUCUGACGCUGAGGCGCGAAAGCCAGGGGAGCAAACGGG
rnacentral:rRNA from 1 species